rnacentral:rRNA from 1 species
ACGCACGCUGGCGGCGUGCCUAAUACCUGCAAGUCGCACGAGAGCGACCGGUGCUUGCACUGGUCAAUCUAGUGGCGAACGGGUGAGUAACACGUGGGUAACCUGCUCAUCAGAGGGGGAUAACAUCCGGAAACGGAUGCUAAAACCGCAUAGGUCUUCGAGCCGCAUGGCUUGAAGAGGAAAAGAGGCGCAAGCUUCUGCUGAUGGAUGGACCCGCGGUGCAUUAGCUAGUUGGUGAGGUAACGGCUCACCAAGGCCGUGAUGCAUAGCCGACCUGAGAGGGUGAUCGGCCACAUUGGGACUGAGACACGGCCCAAACUCCUACGGGAGGCAGCAGUAGGGAAUCUUCCGCAAUGGACGCAAGUCUGACGGAGCAACGCCGCGUGAGUGAAGAAGGUUUUCGGAUCGUAAAACUCUGUUGUUAGAGAAGAACAAGUGCUAGAGUAACUGUUAGCGCCUUGACGGUAUCUAACCAGAAAGCCACGGCUAACUACGUG